GACGAACGCUGGCGGCGUGCUUAACACAUGCAAGUCGAACGGAAAGGCCCUGCUUUUGUGGGGUGCUCGAGUGGCGAACGGGUGAGUAACACGUGAGUAACCUGCCCUUGACUUUGGGAUAACUUCAGGAAACUGGGGCUAAUACCGGAUAGGAGCUCCUGCUGCAUGGUGGGGGUUGGAAAGUUUCGGCGGUUGGGGAUGGACUCGCGGCUUAUCAGCUUGUUGGUGGGGUAGUGGCUUACCAAGGCUUUGACGGGUAGCCGGCCUGAGAGGGUGACCGGCCACAGUGGGACUGAGAUACGGCCCAGACUCCUACGGGAGGAAGCAGUGGGGAAUAUUGCACAAUGGGCGGAAGCCUGAUGAAGCAACGCCGCGUGGGGGAUGACGGCCUUCGGGGUGUAAACCGCUUUCGCCUGUGACGAAGCGUGAGUGACGGUAAUGGGUAAAGAAGCACCGGCUAACUACG
rnacentral:rRNA from 1 species